rnacentral:rRNA from 1 species
CCUACGGGUGGCAGCAGUGGGGAAUAUUGCACAAUGGGGGAAACCCUGAUGCAGCGACGCCGCGUGAGUGAAGAAGUAUUUCGGGAUGUAAAGCUCUAUCAGCAGGGAAGAAAAAAGACGGUACCUGACUAAGAAGCCCCGGCUAACUAAGUGCCAGCAGCCGCGGUAAAACGUAGGGGGCAAGCGUUAUCCGGAUUUACUGGGUGUAAAGGGAGCGUAGACGGCGCGGCAAGUCUGAAGUGAAAGGCCGGGGCUUAACCCCUGAACUGCUUUGGAAACUGCCAGGCUAGCGAGCUGGAGAGGUAAGUGGAAUUCCUAGUGUAGCGGUGAAAUGCGUAGAUAUUAGGAGGAACACCAGUGGCGAAGGCGGCUUACUGGACAGUAACUGACGUUGAGGCUCGAAAGCGUGGGGAGCAAACAGGAUUAGAUACCCGGGUAGUC